GUUGACCUCGGAUCGGGUAGGGAUA
rnacentral:rRNA from 7 species